rnacentral:rRNA from 1 species
UACGUAGGGAGCAAGCGUUGUCCGGAAUCAUUGGGCGUAAAGCGCGCGUAGGUGGCCCCAUAAGUCCGCUGUGAAAGUCAAAGGCUCAACCUUUGAAAGCCGGUGGAUACUGUGGGACUAGAGUACGGAAGAGGCGAGUGGAAUUCCUGGUGUAGCGGUGGAAUGCGCAGAUAUCAGGAGGAACACCAAUUGCGAAGGCAGCUCGCUGGGACGUUACUGACGCUGAGACGCGAAAGCGUGGGGAGCAAACAGG